GAUGAACGCUGGCGGCGUGCCUAAUACAUGCAAGUCGAGCGAACAGACGAGGAGCUUGCUCCUCUGACGUUAGCGGCGGACGGGUGAGUAACACGUGGAUAACCUACCUAUAAGACUGGGAUAACUUCGGGAAACCGGAGCUAAUACCGGCUAAUAUAUUGAACCGCAUGGUUCAAUAGUGAAAGACGGUUUUGCUGUCACUUAUAGAUGGAUCCGCGCCGCAGUAGCUAGUUGGUAAGGUAACGGCUUACCAAGGCGACGAUGCGUAGCCGACCCGAGAGGGGUAACGGCCCACACGGGAACGGGGGCCCGACCCGGCCCCCUACGGGAGGCACAGGGGGGGAAUCUUGCCAAGUGGGGGAAGGCCGACCGAGAAAACCCCGGGGUGUUGAGGAAGGGUUUCGGUUUGAAAAACUUUUUUAUUGGGAAGAAACAAUUGUUUAAAUAACGAUGCCGGUUUGACGGGAACCUAAGAAGAAGGCCCCGGCAAACACCGG
rnacentral:rRNA from 1 species